UCGGGUAUGGUGUAACGGCUAACAUUGCCGCCUCUCAUACAGAUCGCGGCAGCUCGGGGUUCGAUUCCCCGUACCCGAA
rnacentral:tRNA from 1 species